rnacentral:rRNA from 1 species
CAGCAGCCGCGGGAAUACAGAGGGUGCGAGCGUUAAUCGGAUUUACUGGGCGUAAAGCGUGCGUAGGCGGCUUCUUAAGUCGGAUGUGAAAUCCCUGAGCUUAACUUAGGAAUUGCAUUCGAUACUGGGAAGCUAGAGUAUGGGAGAGGAUGGUAGAAUUCCAGGUGUAGCGGUGAAAUGCGUAGAGAUCUGGAGGAAUACCGAUGGCGAAGGCAGCCAUCUGGCCUAAUACUGACGCUGAGGUACGAAAGCAUGGGGAGCAAACAGGAUUAGAUACCCCCGUAGUCCCUGUCUCUUAUCC